rnacentral:rRNA from 1 species
GUGAGGAAUAUUGCGCAAUGGAGGCAACUCUGACGCAGCCAUGCCGCGUGCAGGAAGAAGGCGCUACGCGUUGUAAACUGCUUUUAACCGGGAAGAAACCCCAGGACGUGUCCUGGGUUGACGGUACCGGAGGAAUAAGCACCGGCUAACUUCGUGCCAGCAGCCGCGGUAAUACGAAGGGUGCAAGCGUUAUCCGGAUUCAUUGGGUUUUAAGGGUGCGUAGGCGGAGCGUUAAGUCAGUGGUGAAAGCCUGCAGCGUAACUGUAGACUUGCCAUUGAUACUGGCGCUCUUGAGUGCGCUUGAAGUGGGCGGAAUGUGCCGUGUAGCGGUGAAAUGCUUAGAUAUGGCACAGAACACCAAUUGCGAAGGCAGCUCACUAAGGCGAUAAUGACGCUGAGGCACGAAAGCGUGGGGAUCGAACAGGAUUAGAAACCCCGGUAGUCC